UACGUAGGGUGCAAGCGUUGUCCGGAAUUAUUGGGCGUAAAGAGCUCGUAGGCGGUUUGUCGCGUCGAAUGUGAAAACCCGGGGCUCAACCCCGGGCCUGCAUUCGAUACGGGCAGACUAGAGUUCGGUAGGGGAGAUCGGAAUUCCUGGUGUAGCGGUGAAAUGCGCAGAUAUCAGGAGGAACACCGGUGGCGAAGGCGGAUCUCUGGGCCAUUACUGACGCUGAGGAGCGAAAGCGUGGGGAGCGAACAGG
rnacentral:rRNA from 1 species